CAAUGUGAGGACCAUCUGGCUGUAACAUCUGUCACCCAUUGAUCACUAGGGUUGAUUUGGCUGAUCUGGCGGACUAGGCAGGUGUCCCCUUCCUUUCUCACCUCUCGACCCGUGUCCCUCCCAAAGCUGGGUGCUUCCCCAAAUAGAAACACAUAUUUCAAGGAUGGAUAAAUUAGCCUAUUUAUAUGAGCCAGGUCUAACAGGAAGGGAUGGCCUUCCAUUCUACCUUAUAGAAUUAAGCAAUUAAGAAGUAGUUAUAAUAAAAUUGUUUUCCCAUAUUUCACU
rnacentral:snRNA from 1 species